AUUGAACGCUGGCGGCAGGCCUAACACAUGCAAGUCGAACGAGUGGCGGACGGGUGAGUAAUGUCUGGGAAACUGCCCGAUGGAGGGGGAUAACUACUGGAAACGGUAGCUAAUACCGCAUACCAUCGGAUGUGCCCAGAUGGGAUUAGCUUGUAGGUGAGGUAACGGCUCACCUAGGCGACGAUCCCUAGCUGGUCUGAAAGGAUGACCAGCCACACUGGAACAAGUACACGGUACAGACUCCGACGGGAGCAAGGAGGAGGGAAUAGUGCAGAAGGGACGCAAGUAUGAUGGAGUCAUGACGGGGGAAUGAAGAAGGCGUUCGGAUUAUAAAGUACUUGCAGCGUGGAGGCGUAGCCCAAAGAAGAAGCACCGGCUAAAUCCGGGCCAGCAGCCGCGGUAAUUC
rnacentral:rRNA from 1 species